GACGAACGCUGGCGGCGUGCCUAAUACAUGCAAGUCGAGCGAACAUUUGAGAGCUUGCUCUCAAAUGUUAGCGGCGGACGGGUGAGUAACACGUGGGCAACCUGCCUAUAAGACUGGGAUAACUUCGGGAAACCGGAGCUAAUACCGGAUAAUUCACAUCUACUCAUGUAGAUGUGCUGAAAGAUGGUUUACGCUGUCACUUAUAGAUGGGCCCGCGGCGCAUUAGCUAGUUGGUGAGGUAAUGGCUCACCAAGGCGACGAUCAGUAGCUGGUCUGAGAGGAUGAUCAGCCUCAUUGGGACUGAGACACGGCCCAAACUCCUACGGGAGCAGCAGUGGGAAUAUUGGACAAUGGGCGCAAGCCUGAUCCAGCCAUGCCGCGUGGAUGA
rnacentral:rRNA from 1 species